AUUGAACGCUGGCGGCAGGCCUAACACAUGCAAGUCGAGCGGAUGAGAAGAGCUUGCUCUUCGAUUCAGCGGCGGACGGGUGAGUAAUGCCUAGGAAUCUGCCUGGUAGUGGGGGACAACGUCUCGAAAGGGACGCUAAUACCGCAUACGUCCUACGGGAGAAAGCAGGGGACCGUCGGGCCUUCCGCUAUCAGAUGAGCCUAGGUCGGAUUAGCUUGUUGGUGAGGUAAUGGCUCACCAAGGCGACGAUCCGUAACUGGGCUGAGAGGAUGAUCAGUCACACUGGAACUGAGACACGGUCCAGACUCCUACGGGAGGCAGCAGUGGGGAAUAUUGGACAAUGGGCGAAAGCCUGAUCCAGCCAUGCCGCGUGUGUGAAGAAGGUCUUCGGAUUGUAAAGCACUUUAAGUUGGGAGGAAGGGCAGUCAGCGAAUACCUGGUUGUUUUGACGUUACCGACAGAAUAAGCACCGGCUAACUCUGUGCCAGCAGCAGCCGCCGUAA
rnacentral:rRNA from 1 species